GGGUGUAGCUCAAUGGUUAGAGCAUCUGACUUUUAAUCAGAGGGUUGCAGGUUCAAGUCCUGUCACCCCC
rnacentral:tRNA from 1 species